GGGGAACUUGAGUGAAACGGCAAACAUUGGACCGAUUUAUACGUAGCUAAGGGAUUGCUUAAAGGCUGUGAUAGUUAAGACUGAUUUGUGUGCAUAGUUUGAACAAACCAUUGGUUACAAUUAAAUGUUUCUCACCUAAUACAUGUUAGAUUAAAUGUAAGUUAAGUAGCUGGUGGUUUAAUCAAGUGAAAAAUGAAGUUAUUGGAUGAAAACUUGAAGUUUUGUUGCUGAAUUUAUGUAGAUAGGUUGUAUGGCAAUGAGUUAAAACUUAUUUGAUAUUUUAGAAACUCUAAAGUAAUUUGUUAUAGCCGUAUUCAUGAAAUGACUUCUAAUCGCUUAAACUUGGUUUUCUUAGUAAUUCAAAGAUUAUAAAUUGUGAGAGGUGAAGGUUGUGGACUAAGUUAAUUUACAAAUAACUUUAAGUUUUGUUAA
rnacentral:lncRNA from 1 species